rnacentral:lncRNA from 1 species
CUCAGAGCAGAGGUGGGGCUGUACCUCCGGCAGGACACCCUUGUGGCAUCCCCGUGUCCGAUCCUGCUCCCAGCUACCCAAAGGCACUGGUCCGAGCAAGCGCCAAGAAGCCUGUGCAUAUGCAAACCAGCUACUGAUGGAGUAGGAUUUAAAAAGUCUGCAGAGAGAUUUGUUGGUGGGGGGGAAGGAAGCAGAAGGAGCUGUGGGAGAAAGCCUGCCACCAUUUUCCCCCCACUUCAAAGUUAAAAUGAGAGGUCUGAUGCCAUUUCCAGGACUGAUGCCAAGGUGCUGAGCACAAGUGAGCGGUGACUUUUUUGGGGUGAGGAUCCGAGGUCCCUUCACCUCCUGCAAGGUAAGGAACCACAGCCUUGGUCGCUUUUCCUGGGAGGGUUUCACUUGUAUUUUGGACAGCCCUGGGACUGUAACAUCCUUUGUUUUUUAGACUGGAGGUUGUCAUUGCUGAAA